GUGCAUUAGGGAUUGCAGCGGCAUCCUUUUUUGUAAUGGCAAAUGGGGCGUCAUUACGAGGAGGCACGACGAAGUAAUCUCUUGGGAUGAGGAGAUUGCUUCGGUAAACUCGCAACGACGCAGGUGCUAAAACAACAAAAAAGAUAUAGCGAAAAGCCCGACCACGC
rfam:Jejuia pallidilutea DNA, contig: NODE_1_1/1, strain: JCM 19538.